rnacentral:rRNA from 1 species
GACGAACGCUGGCGGCGCGCCUAACACAUGCAAGUCGAACGGAGUGUUUUCACGGAAGUUUUCGGAUGGAAGUGGUUACACUUAGUGGCGGACGGGUGAGUAACACGUGAGCAACCUGCCUUUCAGAGGGGGAUAACAGUUGGAAACGACUGCUAAUACCGCAUAACGUUGAGGAGAGACAUCUCCCCGCAACCAAAGGAGCAAUCCGCUGAAAGAUGGGCUCGCGUCCGAUUAGCUGGAUGGCGGGGUAACGGCCCACCAUGGCGACGAUCGGUAGCCGGACUGAGAGGUUGAACGGCCACAUUGGUACUGAGACACGGACCAAACUCCUACGGGAGGCAGCAGUGAGGAAUAUUGGUCAAUGGACGCAAGUCUAGAACCA